CCAAAAACAGCAAAAUUUCCUUAAAAUUACCAUUUCAGGGGCAGCAACCCAACAACGGAAUGUCCGAUUCAUCUGAAAAUUUCAGGGCAGAUAGAUCUUGACCUGAUGAACAAUUUUACAGCGUCAGAUUUGCUCUAAAUGCUUUGGUUUUUGAGUUAUAAGCCAAAAACUGUAUUUUACCCCUAUGUUCUAAUUUUAGCCAUGGUGGCCAUCUUGG
rnacentral:lncRNA from 1 species